rnacentral:rRNA from 1 species
AUUGAACGCUGGCGGCAUGCUUUACACAUGCAAGUCGAACGGUAACAGGGAGCUUGCUCCGCUGACGAGUGGCGAACGGGUGAGUAAUAUAUCGGAACGUACCCAAGAGUGGGGGAUAACGUAGCGAAAGUUACGCUAAUACCGCAUACGAUCCAAGGAUGAAAGCAGGGGAUCUUCGGACCUUGUGCUCCUGGAGCGGCCGAUAUCUGAUUAGCUAGUUGGUGAGGUAAAGGCUCACCAAGGCGACGAUCGGUAGCUGGUCUGAGAGGACGACCAGCCACACUGGAACUGAGACACGGUCCAGACUCCUACGGGAGGCAGCAGUGGGGAAUUUUGGACAAUGGGCGCAAGCCUGAUCCAGCAAUGCCGCGUGAGUGAAGAAGGCCUUCGGGUUGUAAAGCUCUUUUGUCAGGGAAGAAACGGGAGUGGCUAAUGUCCAUUCCUAAUGACGGUACCUGAAGAAUAAGCACCGGCUAACUACGUGCCAGCCGCCGCAGUAA